AACGCACCUUGCGCUCCUUGGUAUUCCGAGGAGCAUGCCUGUUUGAGUGUCAUUAAAUCCUCAGUCUCAUCUUCACUUGUGGAUGAAUGGGGCUGGAUGUGGAAGUUUGCUGGCUUCAAACAGUCAGCUCUUCUUAAAUGUAUUAGCAGGGUACACCCCGCAGUUUGGUAUUGAUAGUUGUCUUACCAGGUUGCAGGACUGUAAUGUGCCAAGCUUCAAGCCGUCUCAUUUUUGGGACAAUGUGCACUGAUGAUUUGACCUCAAAUCAGGUAGGAUUACCCGCUGAACUUAA
rnacentral:misc_RNA from 1 species